rnacentral:rRNA from 1 species
CCCAAACUGAGGGAUAAGCACCAGAAAUGGUGUCUAAUACCGCAUGUGAUCUUCGGAUUAAAGCCCAACACCUUUGUUAUCUUUUCUAACAACAUUUGUUAGAGUAGGCAACACGAGUGAAAUCUUUGUAAAUGUUGUGAUAAAAGAUAACAAAGGUGUUGGGCGGUUUGGGAACGGCCUGCGCAUGAUUAGCUUGUUGGUGAGGUAAUAGCUCACCAAGGCGACGAUCAUUAGCUGGUCUGAGAGGAUGAUCAGCCAGACUGGGACUGAGAACGGCCCAGACUCCUACGGGAGGCAGCAGUAGGGAAUUUUCCACAAUGGACGAAAGUCUGAUGGAGCAACGCCGCGUGCAGGAUGAAGGCCCUUGGGUCGUAAACUGCUUUUAUAUGUGACGAUUAUGACGGUAGCAUAUGAAUAAGGAUCGGCUAACUCCGUGCCAGCAGCCGCGGUCAUACGGAGGAUCCAAGCGUUAUCCGGAAUUACUGGGCGUAAAGAGUUGCGUAGGUGGCAUUGUAAGUUGGUAGUGAAAGCGUUCGGCUCAACCGAAUAUACAUUAUCAAAACUACAAAGCUAGAGGAUGAGAGAGGUUAUUGGAAUUCCUAGUGUAGGAGUGAAAUCCGUAGAUAUUAGGAGGAACACCGAUGGCGUAGGCAGAUAACUGGCUCAUUCCUGACACUAAGGCACGAAAGCGUGGGUAGCAAACGGGAUUAGAUACCCCGGUAGUCCACGCUGUAAACGAUGGAUGCUAGCUGUUAUCGGUAUCGACCCCGGUAGUAGCGAAGCUAACGCGUUAAGCAUCCCGCCUGUGGAGUACGGUCGCAAGACUAAAACUCAAAGGAAUUGACGGAAUCGA